rnacentral:rRNA from 1 species
UACAGAGGGGGCAAGCGUUGUUCGGAAUUACUGGGCGUAAAGGGCGCGUAGGCGGCCUGCUAAGUCGAACGUGAAAUCCCUGGGCUCAACCCAGGAACUGCGUCCGAUACUGGUUGGCUUGAAUCCGGGAGAGGGAUGCGGAAUUCCAGGUGUAGCAGUGAAAUGCGUAGAUAUCAAGUGGAACACCAGUGGCGAAGGCGAGUCUCUGGACAUUUCCUGACGCUGAGGCACGAAAGCCAGGGGAGCAAACGGG